rnacentral:rRNA from 1 species
AGGUGGGGUAACGGCUCCCUUAGGUGUUGAUCCCUACCUGGUAUGAGAGGAGGACCAGCCACACUCUAAGGGAAACACGGUCCAGACUCCUACGGGAGGCAGCAGUGGGGAAUAUUGCACAAUGGGCGCAAGCCUGAUGCAGCCAUGCCGCGUGUAUGAAGAAGGCCUUCGGGUUGUAAAGUACUUUCAGAGAGGAGGAAGGCAUUAAGGUUAAUAACCUUGGGGAUUGACGUUACUCGCAGAAGAAGCACCGGCUAACUCCGUGCCAGCAGCCGCGGUAAUACGGAGGGUGCAAGCGUUCAUCGGAAUUACUGGGCGUAAAGCGCACGCAGGCGGUCUGUCAAGUCGGAUGUGAAAUCCCCGGGCUCAACCUGGGAACUGCAUUCGAAACUGGCAGGCUAGAGUCUUGUAGAGGGGGGUACGAAUUCCAGGUGUAGCGGUGAAAUGCGUAGAGAUCUGGAGGAAUACCCGGUGGCGAAGGCGGCCCCCUGGAUCAAAGACUACGUUCAGUCAAG